rnacentral:lncRNA from 1 species
GACCGAAGGGCUGUUUGUCUAAAUGGCCUCUAGAACUCUCGAUCGCAGCCAUGCCUGAGUGGGCGCGCAGCAGAGUUUAGGCGGUUUGGGGUGCUAAUUAAUUCAGGUGCAGAAGAGCAGCCCAGUCAGGCGAAGCUGGCACCUGGCCCAUGUGUGAGUGGUGACUCACCUGCUGGAAGACAAUCUGGGGACCGUAUAGCUUGAAUAGCAACAAAUACUUGGCUUGAUUCAUGCGUGGAUGUUUACGGAUUAUCUAGAAGGAAAGCUGGAGCCGGGAUGAUUCCUAAAUAGGAUGUCCUACCAAAUUGGCUUCCAGGCUGUUACAAUGGCUC